rnacentral:rRNA from 1 species
UACGUAGGUGGCAAGCGUUAUCCGGAAUUAUUGGGCGUAAAGCGCGCGUAGGCGGUUUUUUAAGUCUGAUGUGAAAGCCCACGGCUCAACCGUGGAGGGUCAUUGGAAACUGGAAAACUUGAGCGCAGAAGAGGAAAGUGGAAUUCCAUGUGUAGCGGUGAAAUGCGCAGAGAUAUGGAGGAACACCAGUGGCGAAGGCGACUUUCUGGUCUGUAACUGACGCUGAUGUGCGAAAGCGUGGGGAUCAAA